ACCAAAAGAGAAGAAAAAACGCUAGUAACAAACCUAGGUUUUCUUCUCCCCAAAACAACUAACAAGAAAUCCUAGGAAAAACAACUAGCCAGGAGUAGAAGGCUUUAUUUUUUCCUCGAACUGAUGUUCAUCGACCAACCAUCUCUCGCCUCUUUCUUUUUCUGCUCCUCUUCGGUCUCAAUCUAUCUCACGAUUUGUUUAAUCUUAUCUUGCUCAUUUUUUUCUCUCUCCGAUUGUUAUAUAUUUACAGGAACUGAUGUUGUAGAGGGACGUAAUCUUCUACCCAUCCUAUCUCAUUUUGGUAACCUAACGGAGCACAUAACCAACUUUCAUCAGGAAAGGGCAGAUAAGGCUCAACCCCCAUACCUACGAAUAUGUUAGCCUUACUAGGUUAACUGUGUAGAAAUUUGCCAAUAAUUUUCUCCCAAACGAUGCAGGAGCGUAAGAGUGAAAGUCACCCUUUGAGAGAUGUCUUACUGCGUGCAGACUAUAACGUUAAAGAGUUGAUCGAGUGUAUUUGAGCACGCCUACAAAGAUUGCCAUCAUAAACCAUGAGAAGAGAAGAACCUUUGUACUGAGAAAAGAAAGCAUGCCUGAUGCAGGUUCAUUUAAUCUGAUUGGUUGGCACCGUUAUAUCUUUUCGGAGUUUAGGGUCUAAAUGGUGAUUGGUCCAUUCUCCGCUUUUUAAAUCUUUGGCAUUGCAGUUUCUGUAACUAAGACGCUCUGUCAAUGGGUUUGGACAACGAUUUAUUUUUUAAUUUUUUCUGCUACUUUAUUCUUAUACUUUUGGUUUUCAUGAAGUUGGUACCAUUGGUUCACUAGAAGAGAAAACAAGGAGAUGGGUUUGAUGUUGAUGUUGGUUUGAUUUGGUGGUUGUGAAAUUUGAGCUGUAGUGGCGACUGAAGCUGAUUAUGGUUGUCCCAGGAAGUGGUGCAGAUGGUUUGGUGAUGUAUCUGCUGCUACGGUGAAGGUUACCGAGGCUGACAAUGAAAAUAGAAGAAUGCUUUGGAUUACUUCAGUCGAAGAAUGAAGUUGCUACCGUGAUUAGGAUGGUUUGAUUAAUGUUUGGUUAUUUCUUUGGAUUUCUACAGUGGUUAUAGGAUGGUUUGAUUAAUGCUUUGGAUUUUCGAACACUAAAAUAUUGUUUCUCCUCUAAAAAUUUUGCUGUCUUUGAUUACUUCACUGAUGUAUUUCCCUUUGAUGAUUGCAAAUAGUUCUUCUCUUUGUAUUACUAAUUUUGUGAGUGCUUUUUGGUAUGAAGCCAUGUGUAUCAAUAUAUAUAAAUAUAUGGCAAGGAAACAGAUGUACAGCGUGGACUGUAAGAUGACUUCGACAAGAAUAGGUAUUUGCCUACUUGGAGCUACAAAAAUGAUGUUUAUUCUUCUCGGGUGUCGAAUUUGCUGGGAGACCAGGAGUCAACUUAUCGAGCUUUAAUUGUUUCUGGAAAUGCCAAGCAUCAAAUUGUUACUUUGUGCUACCAUCGAUCACUGAGGUUAAGAUUCAGGGGUUGACUUUGUCAUUUUCUUUUCUAUGAUGGUAAGUCUUAGGUUAUCUACUACAAGUCUGCGACCUAAAAUAGACGACAGGUGACCUGGAGCAUGCUCCACAACCUACUUAACAAUGCUUCAGCUCAUUCCCAGGUCACCAGCUGAUGUUUUCUUUUCAUGAUACAAAUGCAUGCAGAGUAAUUUAGUUUACAGCCUUAGUUAUUGAUGAUCUUAUUUUUGUUCGCUCUGUUCCUUCUUAAAAACCAAUCUUAAGCAACUUUCAUAAGUUUGAAGUCUUAUGCUAAAUGGUCUUUUUCCGUUACUUUGUUUUGCGACAGAUCUCUUACGGCGAUGAUAUACCAAAAAAUUUAGAUUACGUCGAAGGUGUUUAUUCUCAGUAAUUUUGCAGCUUUUUUGGUUCCCAUUCAUGGCUGUAGGACUUACAUGCAUCUUUGAUCCUGAAAUUUAAAUGGAAUCUCUUCUCGCCGAUUUGAAGUGGUUUUGACUCUCCUAUACGGAAGGCUUUGACAUCCUAAAAGUACUCGCAACUAGGAGUUGGAGAAAAAACCUCUGGAUGAUGUGAAAGUUCAUAGAUAUGAUCUAGAUUUUGUCGACCUUAUAUGUUUGCUUGACAUAUUUUGUCGAUCAGAUUUGAUAUAUCAGCUACGGCCUUGAAGGUUCCAGGUAUACCGGCUGUUAGAACCCCUUUGACACCCAUAGUAAUUAUUAGAUAGCAAUUGGUACAUUAAAAGGUGAAGGUUUUUUUUUUUUUUUUUUAGUUUUACAACAAUAUUAAAAGAUUACUAUAUAACUCAGCAUACAAAGAUUAUGUGAGAACAGUUCAAUGCACAGUCUUUGUUUUUGUAUGCCAAUAUCGUACAUUUGGCUUCUCCUCUUAAUUCGUUAACGAAGACUUGACAUUCUUACGAGGAAAACACCAAUUCUUCAAGAGUUUAUGACACAUUAAUUUGAUUCACCAUAGUGAAGGGGUUAUACAGUUUCAUGUUUUACUCAAGUAAUGAUGUCUCUAGCUUCCGCAGCCUAAUUAACCAUAACUAUUGAUGCAAUUAUUUUAAUAUCCAUUUUCUUAGUUAAUAUGUAAAAGAUCAGGUGAAGUUGAACAAGAUCUGAGUUGGUACUGGUGUUUGAAGUGCGACUUACCUCACUUCUUGGUUGCUGGUGUUUGCCGAUCCUUAAGAUUUUAACCAUUUGCAGUGUUUAUAAAAGCAAUAGCUUUGCAAAGUAUGGUGACGCAAGAUGGAAUGUGGAAAACUUAUGUGCUUAAAAGUUUUUUACCACGUUUUUUUUGCCGUCACAUUUGAAUUUGGUUAGCGGAGAGAAUGCUUUUUUUUUUUUUUAAAUAUCAUGAGCUUUGUGAGAUUAUCUGUUAGAUGAUUGAAAGAUGUAAACUUUUUUGAAAUGGGAUCCUCGGUACUUUGAACGGUGAAACUUUCCUUCUUCCUGGACAUG